UGCUUUUUUAUUUCUUUAAAUUAAGAGUAGUAGCUGACAUUUUGCAAAAUGCUUCUAGAAGAAAACAUACUCCUAAAUUUAUGCUUCCAGACAUACAUACAGGUACUCCUUGACUUAUCAGCACAAUUGAACCCAAAAUUUGUGCUGCUAAGCAAGAUCUUUGUUAAGGGAGUUUUGCCUUUCACUUAAGCUGUUAAGUAAAUCAUUGUAAUUGUUAUUCCAAAGGUGCUUUUUCAAGAGACAACUGGACUUUCUGGUUUUUCUUUGAAGAUAUUUCGCUUCUCAUCCAAGAAGCUGCUUCAGCUCUGACUGGAUGCAAUUUUCCUCUCUGUUAGAGGCACCAAAAUAAUCCAGACAAUAGGGGGAGGAGCUGACGUCGCGACAGAACGGUCGGAGGAUUCCUGGACUCCAGGAUCGCUGCCGAAAAGCCUGCUACCGGAUGGUCCUUUUUGGACCUCACAGUCUUGUUUUGACUGUGAUAGUGGAGGGCACAUCCUGACGAUCCCAGGGACACUGAAAAGUCUCUGGUUGAUCGGGAGAAGCCCUUUUUCUAGCCGCGGGACGGCAGCCAUAGUAGCUGCUGAACUUGGGACAGCUCCGGAAGAAGAAUAGAACGACAGUGAGUCGAUGCGGUGAGAGACUUUCAAUUUAAAUCAAUAUAAAAGGAUACCCUGAGAUUGAAGUGGAAAUUAAAUCGGAGAUAAAAGGAAAUUAAGCGGCGAAAUUAAGCUGGAGUGAUUUUUUAUUUUUAAACCAUUUACACUGGUGGAACUAUAAAUCUUUGUUUUGUCUUUGACCGGGACUGGAUUGAAAAGGACUGUUAGAAUUGAGAGUUUUACAUUUUUAAGCCUUUGUGCCUUUUAUUUAAAAUAUUUUCCUUUUGGGAUUUAAUUUUUUUCCCUUCUCUUUCUGAAGAUUGUUUUAAAUUUUCAUUUUUCAUUUUAUUGACAAAGAACUCUUGGAUUAUAUUAGAGGGGAAGAAAGAUUAUAUUAGAGGCGUGUGAAAUACUGCCAUCUACUGGACUGGAAACUUUGUUAUUUUUUUUUCUACUUAAGUAGCAAGUUGAAACAAUUGUAUUAUAUUAUUGCUACAACCCAAGGACUCUGAAUUUUCUUGCUGAUAAGGUAGUUGGAAGCAUAUCUGAGGGAUUUGGAACUAUCUGUAUUGUUUACUCAGGUGCUCUUCGGGAAACUAUCAGAAGUAGGAGUCUAAGGCAGAAUGAGAGAGAUUUGUUAAUGUUUGGGCAGAAAUACUGCAGAAGAAAUUGAAAUCUUUUUCUAUUAUUUGUUGUUGUUGUUCCUGUUAAGUGAUAACUCUUUGUAUGCUUCCCCUGAUUAAAAUAUCUCUGAUGGA